UACGUAGGCAGCGAGCGUUGUUCGGAAUUACUGGGCGUAAAGAGUGUGUAGGCGGUGCUCUAAGUUCGGUGUGAAAUCUCCUGGCUCAACUGGGAGGGUGCGCCGGAAACUGGAGUGCUUGAGCGUGGGAGAGGAAAGCGGAAUUCCUGGUGUAGCGGUGAAAUGCGUAGAUAUCGGGAGGAACACCUGUGGCGAAAGCGGCGCACUGGACCAUUUCUGACGCUGAGGCGCGAAAGCGUAGGGGAGCAAACAGG
rnacentral:rRNA from 1 species